rnacentral:SRP_RNA from 1 species
UGUUUGUUCUCCCGCAACGCUACUCUGUUUACCAGGUCAGGUCCGGAAGGAAGCAGCCAAGGCAGAUGACGCGUGUGCCGGGAUGUAGCUGGCAGGG